UACGUAGGGGGCAAGCGUUGUCCGGAAUCAUUGGGCGUAAAGCGCGUGUAGGCGGCUUGGUAAGUCUGCUCUGAAAGCCCGGGGCUCAACCCCGGGAGGCGGGUGGAUACUGUCCAAGCUCGAGUCCGGAAGAGGAGUGUGGAAUUCCUGGUGUAGCGGUGAAAUGCGCAGAUAUCAGGAGGAACACCAUGGCGAAGGCAGCACUCUGGGACGUGACUGACGCUGAGA
rnacentral:rRNA from 1 species